rnacentral:rRNA from 1 species
AUUGAACGCUGGCGGCAGGCCCAACACAUGCAAGUCGAGCGGAGCGGCAGCCGCGUGAGUAAUGCUUAUGACUCUGCCUGGUAGUGGGGGAUAACGUCCGGAACUGGGCGCUAAUACCGCAUACUAUCAGAUUCCCCUCGGUCGGAUUAGCUAGUUGGUGGGGUAAAGGCCUACCAAGGCGACGAUCCGUAACUGGUCUGAGAGGAUGAUCAGUCACACUGGAACUGAGACACGGUCCAGACUCCUACGGGAGGCAGCAGUGGGGAAUAUUGGACAAUGGGCGAAAGCCUGAUGCAGCCAUGCCGCGUGUGUGAAGAAGGUCUUCGGAUUGUAAAGCACUUUAAGUUGGGAGGCGUUACCAGCAGAAUAAGCACCGGCUAACUCCGUGCCAGCAGCCGCGGUAAUUC